GUGGGGAAUAUUGGACAAUGGACGAAAGCCUGAUCCAGCCAUGCCGCGUGUGUGAAGAAGGUCUUCGGAUUGUAAAGCACUUUAAGUUGGGAGGAAGGGCAGUAAGUUAAUACCUUGCUGUUUUGACGUUACCGACAGAAUAAGCACCGGCUAACUUCGUGCCAGCAGCCGCGGUAAUACGAAGGGUGCAAGCGUUAAUCGGAAUUACUGGGCGUAAAGCGCGCGUAGGUGGUUUUGUAAGUUGGAGGUGAAAUCCCCGGGCUCAACCUGGGAACUGCCUCCAAAACUGCAUGACUAGAGUACGGUAGAGGGUAGUGGAAUUUCCUGUGUAGCGGUGAAAUGCGUAGAUAUAGGAAGGAACACCAGUGGCGAAGGCGACUACCUGGACUGAUACUGACACUGAGGUGCGAAAGCGUGGGGAGCAAACAGGAUUAGAAACCCUGGUAGUCC
rnacentral:rRNA from 1 species